UACGUAGGGUGCAAGCGUUGUCCGGAUUUAUUGGGCGUAAAGAGCUCGUAGGCGGUCUGUCGCGUCGGAUGUGAAAACCCAGGGCUCAACCCUGGGCCUGCAUUCGAUACGGGCAGACUAGAGUACGGCAGGGGAGACUGGAAUUCCUGGUGUAGCGGUGAAAUGCGCAGAUAUCAGGAGGAACACCGGUGGCGAAGGCGGUUGGCUGGGCCACACCUGACACUGAGGCGCGACAGCGUGGGGAGCAAACAGG
rnacentral:rRNA from 1 species